GCCCGGAUAGCUCAGUCGGUAGAGCAGGGGAUUGAAAAUCCCCGUGUCGGCGGUUCGAUUCCGUCUCCGGGCACCA
rnacentral:tRNA from 3 species